AGAAUCAACGCUGGCGGCGUGCCUAACACAUGCAAGUCGAACGAGAAAGUGGGAGCAAUCCCACGAGUAAAGUGGCGCACGGGUGAGUAACACGUGACUAACCUACCCUUGAGUGGGGGAUAACCUAGGGAAACCUGGGCUAAUACCGCAUAAUACCUACGGGUCAAAGGAGCAAUUCGCUUUAGGAGGGGGUCGCGGCAGAUUAGUUAGUUGGCGGGUAAUGGCCCACCAAGACAGUGAUCUGU
rnacentral:rRNA from 1 species